rnacentral:rRNA from 1 species
GUAAUACAUGAGUGAACGUGCCCUGAAGACUGGGAUAGUCGUUGGAAACGACGUUUAAUACCAGAUGUGGCGGAGGCUUGGCAUCAAGCUUCCACUAAAAGGUUUUUCGCUUCAGGAGUGCCUCAUGGCCUAUCAGGUAGUUGGUGAGGUAAUGGCUCACCAAGCCGACGACGGGUAGCGGGUCUCAGAGGAUGAUCCGCUCGAGUGGGACUGAGACACGGCCACACACCUACGGGUGGCAGCAGUUGGGAAUCUUGCACAAUGGGGGAAACCCUGAUGCAGCGACGCCGCGUGGAGGAUGAAGGGUCUAGGCUCGUAAACUCCUUUUAUGGGGAAAGACUUAGGACGGUACCCCAUGAAUAAGGACCGGUAACUACGUGCCAGCAGCCGCGGUAAGACGUAGGUCCAAGCGUUGUCCGGAAUUACUGGGCGUAAAGCGUGCGUAGGUGGUUUCUUAAGUCUGUGUGAAAGCCCCGGGUUCAACCUGGGAAUUGCAGUGGAUACUGGGGAGCUAGAGUGGGGGUAAAGG